rnacentral:rRNA from 1 species
UACGGAGGGUGCGAGCGUUGCUCGGAAUUAUUGGGCGUAACGGGUAGGUAGGUGGUCUCGUUUGUCUGGGGUGAAAGCCUUGAGCUUAACUCAAGAAGUGCCCCAGAAACGGCGAGACUAGAGUUCUGGAGAGGGUCGUGGAAUUCCCGGUGUAGCGGUGAAAUGCGCAGAUAUCAGGAGGAACACCGGUGGCGAAGGCGGUUCUCUGGGAAUGACCUGACGCUGAGGAGCGAAAGUGUGGGGAGCGAACAGG